rnacentral:rRNA from 1 species
GUCCAGACUCCUACGGGAGGCAGCAGUGGGGAAUAUUGGGCAAUGGGCGCAAGCCUGACCCAGCAAUGCCGCGUGAAGGAAGAGGGCCCUCGGGUUGUAAACUUCUUUUAUCAGGGACGAAGGAUGUGACGGUACCUGAUGAAUAAGCUCCGGCUAACUACGUGCCAGCAGCCGCGGUAAUACGUAGGGAGCAAGCGUUAUCCGGAUUUACUGGGUGUAAAGGGCGCGUAGGCGGGAUGGCAAGUCAGAUGUGAAAUCCGGGGGCUCAACCCCGGAACUGCAUUUGAAACUGUCGUUCUUGAGUACUGGAGAGGUUGGCGGAAUUCCUAGUGUAGCGGUGAAAUGCGUAGAUAUUAGGAGGAACACCAGUGGCGAAGGCGGUCAACUGGACAGCAACUGACGCUGAGGCGCGAAGGCCAGGGGAGCGAAAGGGAUUAGAUACCCCCGUA